AUACGUAGGGAGCGAGCGUUGUCCGGAAUUACUGGGUGUAAAGGGCGCGUAGGCGGCCCGGUAAGUCUGGAGUGAAAGUCCUGUUUUUAAGAUGGGAAUUGCUUUGGAUACUGUCGGGCUUGAGUGCAGGAGAGGUAAGUGGAAUUCCCAGUGUAGCGGUGAAAUGCGUAGAGAUUGGGAGGAACACCAGUGGCGAAGGCGACUUACCGGACUGUAACUGACGCUGAGGCGCGAAAGUGUGGGGAGCAAACAGGAUUAGAUACCCUGGUAGUCCACACUGUAAACGAUGAAUGCUAGGUGUAGGGGGUAUCGACCCCUUCUGUGCCGCAGUCAACACAAUAAGCAUUCCGCCUGGGGAGUACGGCCGCAAGGUUGAAACUCAAAGGAAUUGACGGGG
rnacentral:rRNA from 1 species